UACGACCACAAUGGGUCCCAAAGCAUUCCCACUCAGGUUUGCAGGUUUCCAUCCAACUCAUCAGUUUCUAGAAACAGGAGAGGUCUCUACCCCCAGAGACGUCUACUGAGUGCUCUUAGGAGACCGUCUCGUCUCUUGCUCCGAGCUCCCACCCCCACCCCGCCAGGGGGUAAUGUAAUACUGGAUUUUUCUUGUGGCAUAGCCUAUUUAUUUGUUCUUUUGCCCUUAGCUACUAUUUCUCCUUCUCUCUAUUUGUGAUUUAUUUUUAUUCAGACUAUCUCCUGUCGGAAGGAACGCGCGCGAAGUUCAGCCCGGUGAUACGCUGUUCCUGAUUGCCUGCACUGACACUACUUGAGGAAAUGCACCCCCCUCAGUCCAUUCCCAUUCAUACAAGACCCCCCAGAAAAGCAGAGAAAUCUACCGAGUAAGCAACACCCUCAUGAAGAUACCCAUCCAAUAAACUCAGGCUGGACAACUGAAUGAUGAGAGAUCACAUAGCGGAGAGAGGCCCAGCCAGCCCACCUGGAGGCACUAGAAAUAGGAGUGAAGCCAUCUUCAAUUCCUCAGCCCUGGUCAAACCACCCCAGCCAACACCACGUGGAACAGAGGCUCCACAGAGUUCUGCCGAAUUUGCAGUCACGAGAAAAAAU